CACACAGUAAAUAUUAACUCAGAUAGACCUUGAGCCCCCCAAAUUUUUGUCUUGACAGGAGUCCAAGUAGAGCUUGGAGGGACUUGAUUUCUGAACCAGACUCAUUAAGGAACACACUCAUCAAUUCUCUGUGGACGUCUCAGGCCAAGCACACCUCCCAUGCAGUGCAUGGCUUGGAAUCCCUUCUCUUCACCAAAGCAUUCCUUCAGCGCUCACCUCCUCCAGGCUCUCUCCUUUGCCCUCCCACUCUCCACCCCCAAAACUUUUCUCCUCCCUUUUUAUCUCUCUAACCACGGAAAGUCCUUCCAUCCCUGGGGGUCCCCAGAAGCCAAUCCUCCCACCCUGGAGCUGACUUCCCUCCCUCACCUUCUGGACUGAGCAGGGAAGAGAGAGAUGCAAGAGAGGUGCCAUCUGAGGAAGGCUGGCUGGGCCCUCAGGCAGGACCUCACAGGGCGGACUUCAGAGUGACCAUCAUGGUCCAGGCUACAGGAGGGUCCAGACGGUGGGCCAGGACCCUCAACAGUGGCCACAGCCUCUCUGGACUGACCAGACUCAGUGAUGAGCAACCAGAGCACCACUUCCUAAACUCAGGAUGGAAGGGAUGGAGGCUGCCUUUUCAGUCACUGGACUACCCAUGCUCACUAUUCUGGGGACUCCUUUCCUGGAGUCAGGAGACCAGGGAAGCCAAAAUAAAGAUCAGAAAGCCACUUGGAGAACAGAGAACCAGCGCAAGAAGGCAAUAGACCUGAGUGAUGCAAAGCCCAGACCAGAGUGAGUCACCUCUUCAUUCACUAUUAUAUCAUCCACUCAACAGACAUCUGUGGCGUCCCUGCCAUGCAGGUGCUAGCUAGGUACUGAGGACACAGUAGCGGUGGUGGGGGUGGCAGUGGUUGGGGGAGGUAUGGAACUCUGUGAGAGACUCUGUUAAGAGAAUGAAAAGACAAGGCAUAGGCUGGGAAAAAAUAUUCACAAAUCACAAUCAGCCAAAAGACUGUAUCCAAACUAUACAGAAGUCAACAAUCAGAAACUAACAACCCAACUUUAAAACUGAGCAAAAGACACUGCACUCAAGAAGACAUGCAGAUGACAAAUGAGCCCAUGAAAAGAUUUUCAACACCACCAUUCAUUAGAAAAUAGAAAUUUAACUCAGUGAGAUA